rnacentral:rRNA from 1 species
GUGCCAGCAGCCGCGGUAAUACGUAGGGGGCGAGCGUUGUCCGGAUUUAUUGGGCGUAAAAGGCUUGUAGGUGGCCACGCCAAGUCGGAUGUGAAAUCUCCCGGCUCAACUGGGAGGGGUCAUUCGAUACUGGCGGGCUCGAGGCCGGUAGGGGGAAGCGGAAUUCCCGGUGUAGUGGUGGAAUGCGUAGAUAUCGGGAGGAACACCAGUGGCGAAGGCGGCUUCCUGGACCGGUUCUGACACUGAGGAGCGAAAGCGUGGGGAGCGAUCCGGAUUAGAUACCCGGGUAGUCCACGCCGUAAACGUUGGGCACUAGAUGUCGGGGGUAUCGACCCCUCCGGUGUCGCAGCUAACGCAUUAAGUGCCCUGCCUGGGGAGUACGGCCGCAAGGCUAAA